AAACCAUGUUGGGGACAUCUUCUAACUAGAUCCUUCAACCUCUUCCAAGUCUCAAAGAGUGAUUUAGAUUAGGCUUGUGAAAAGGAAGAGAUCUUAUUCCUCAGUUU